rnacentral:lncRNA from 10 species
UGCCUCCCUGAUAGUACCUCUUUAUCUGCUGGAAAUAAUUCAUCAAGAUACAUUGGUAUCCCGACUAGUACAUCGGAAAUUAUCUACAAUGAAGAAAAUAGCUUGGAAAACUUAUCCAACAGCCUGGGCAAGCUACCUCUCGCAUGGGAAAUUGAUAAAUCUGAAUUUGAUGGGGUGACCACAAAUUCGAAACACAAAUCAGGCAAUGCAAAGAAACAAGUUUCCAAGAGAAAAACUUCAGAUAAAAAGGGAAGAUAUCAGAAGGAAUGUCCUCAGCAUUCUCCUCUUGAAGAUAUUAAACAGCGGAAAGUAUUAGACCUCAGACGAUGGUGAUGUUAUCAGUUUUUAUUUUUUUCAUUUUUGAAAUAUGUAAUAUAUGUUGGCAAUAACGUAGCAGUUUACAAAUUAAUACAUUAUAUGUAUCAUAAAUAUUUUUAUUUCUAAAAUUAUUACCAGGAUUUCUGAAUAUUUAAAGUCACCACAAAUGUUUGAAGUAGAUUAAUAAUGAGUUAUGCUGGUCUUUCCCAAACUCGGCUUAUUAUUAGAGUCAUCUGUGUGACUCCACGUAACUGCCAUGUAGAUUUAACAAUGAUUAACCUUUUGAUGUAGUUAAAUACUUAGCUUUUCAUUGCUGAAGAAUUUUCAAGUA